AUGGCUCCUGCAGGGGCGUCUGCUGGGCAUUGUCAGGCCUGUCAGCUCCCCACACUCCUCACGCUGUCCCAGCACGUGCCUCUGCACAGGCUCCCCGACAUCCCCAUCUCACAGAUGGGGAGAGUGAGACAGUGGACGCCACCUGGGUUGGGUCACACAGCCGGUGAACAGGAUCAAAUCAGCCAGCUCGGUCAGCACCAAGGGGCCCAAGGGGUCUGGCAGCGGGCGAGCGGCUGCAGGGGUGACUGGGUUUCACUGGCAUCUCCCGUCCACACUGGGAACGGGGACCGCGUGCACAUGGGUGGACUGCAGGGGGCUCUGGAUGCCACCCGAGGCCACUGGGUCAGAGCUGGUGGGGCCCCAAGUACGCCAGCCAGCCGGGCCGGGGGGCGGCCAGUGGCUGCGGGCCAUCCGAGGGAGCCUUUGCCACACGUGAGCCAGCGCCUGGCCACGGCCAGAGCUCAGCCCCUGCGGCAGCUCAGCCCCUGCCCCUCCGUGUGCAGGCGCUGUGGGGGGUCAGUCCAGGACGGCAUCGGGACCCCCCAGGACCCCGCCUGGGACCUGUCUGCACCCCCCGCUCCUCCUGCCGUAGCCCGCUCUCCUGCUCUCCAGGGGCACCGCUGCAGCCCGCGGCCCGCAGCCCUCCUGACCUUUGUCCCUUGGCUGCUCUGUUUAAGGGACCCCGACUUGCGGGCCAGGAGGGAGAUUUCCCUGCAGGGCUUUCAGCUCCUGAGGGCACCCCAGCGAGGCUUCCUUCUAAGAGACACCCGCAGUCAGGACAGCAGGCCGAGCUGUGUGUGCCCGGGGUCAGGGCGGGGCCGGGGGGCCCGGCCCUCGCUGGGGGGUGAGGGGCCCCUGGGGGGAGACCCUGCAGCUGGACUCCCUCUCCAGGGCGCUAUGGCCCGACCCUGUGGACUGGACCUUCGAGGGCUCCCCUCAGCUGGCCCUCCUGGCAGCCAGACACACAACUGGGGGGGCCAUCCUGCCCCCCAGGAAUGCUGCCCAGCCCGGGUUGGGGACAAGCCCUUGUCUGGGCGUCUUGCACCAGAACCUGUGGCCCUCUCGGGAACCCUUGCCGAAGGGGGCAGGACGGGGCUGGCGGGGGCCUGGAGUCAUGGCCCCAGCCCCCAGCCCCAGCACCAGCACCCAGCCCCAGUCCCAGUCCCAACCCCAGUCCCCAGCACCCAGCCCCAGUCCCCAGCACCCAGCCCCAGGCCCCAGUCCCAACCCCAGUCCCCAGCACCCAGCCCCAGUCUCCAUUCCCAGCCCUAG
rnacentral:lncRNA from 1 species